rnacentral:rRNA from 1 species
AUUGAACGCUGGCGGCAUGCCUUACACAUGCAAGUCGAACGGUAACAGGUCUUCGGAUGCUGACGAGUGGCGAACGGGUGAGUAAUACAUCGGAACGUGCCCAGACGUGGGGGAUAACGAGGCGAAAGCUUUGCUAAUACCGCAUACGAUCUAAGGAUGAAAGCAGGGGACCUCAAGGCCUUGUGCGUUUGGUGCGGCCGAUGGCAGAUUAGGUAGUUGGUGGGUUAAAAGCUUACCAAGCCGACGAUCUGUAGCUGGUCUGAGAGGACGACCAGCCACACUGGGACUGAGACACGGCCCAGACUCCUACGGGAGGCAGCAGUGGGGAAUUUUGGACAAUGGGCGAAAGCCUGAUCCAGCAAUGCCGCGUGCAGGAUGAAGGCCUUCGGGUUGUAAACUGCUUUUGUACGGAACGAAAAGGCUCUGGCUAAUACCUGGGGCACAUGACGGUACCGUAAGAAUAAGCACCGGCUAACUACGUG